GAUGAACGCUGGCGGCGUGCCUAAUACAUGCAAGUCGAGCGAACGGACGAGAAGCUUGCUUCUCUGAUGUUAGCGGCGGACGGGUGAGUAACACGUGGAUAACCUACCUAUAAGACUGGGAUAACUUCGGGAAACCGUAGCUAAUACCGGAUAAUAUUUUGAACCGCAUGGUUCAAAAGUGAAAGACGGUCUUGCUGUCACUUAUAGAUGGAUCCGCGCUGCAUUAGCUAGUUGGUAAGGUAACGGCUUACCAAGGCAACGAUGCAUAGCCGACCUGAGAGGGUGAUCGGCCACACUGGAACUGAGACACGGUCCAGACUCCUACGGGAGGCAGCAGUAGGGAAUCUUCCGCAAUGGGCGAAAGCCUGACGGAGCCACGCCGCGUGAGUGAUGAAGGUCUUCGGAUCGUAAAACUCUGUUAUUAGGGAAGAACAUAUGUGGAAGUAACUGUGCACAUCUUGACGGUACCUAAUCAGAAAGCCACGGCUAACUACGUG
rnacentral:rRNA from 1 species